rnacentral:rRNA from 1 species
UACGGAGGGGACUAGCGUUGUUCGGAAUUACUGGGCGUAAAGCGCACGUAGGCGGAUUUGUAAGUCAGAUGUGAAAGCCCCGGGCUCAACCUGGGAACUGCAUUUGAAACUGGCGGGCUUGAGUAUGGCAGAGGGGGGUGGAAUUCCGCGUGUAGCAGUGAAAUGCGUAGAGAUGCGGAGGAACACCGAUGGCGAAGGCAGCCCCCUGGGCCAAUACUGACGCUCAGGCACGAAAGCGUGGGGAGCAAACAGG